GCUUGUCUCAAAGAUUAAGCCAUGCAUGUCUAAGUAUAAACGAAUUUAUACUGUGAAACUGCGAAUGGCUCAUUAUAUCAGUUAUAGUUUCUUUGAUGGUUCUUGCUACUUGGAUAACCGUAGUAAUUCUAGAGCUAAUACAUGCAUAAGGCCCUAACUAGCAAUGGAAGGGGUGUAUUUAUUAGAUGGAAGCCAAUGCGGGGCAACCCGGCUUAUUUGGUGAUUCAUAAUAACUUUCGGAUCGAUUUAUCGAUGCAUCAUUCAAGUUUCUGCCCUAUCAGCUUUGGAUGGUAGGGUAUUGGCCUACCAUGGCUUUAACGGGUAACGGAGAAUUAGGGUUCGAUUCCGGAGAGGGAGCCUGAGAAAUGGCUACCACAUCCAAGGAAGGCAGCAGG
rnacentral:rRNA from 1 species